rnacentral:rRNA from 1 species
GACGAACGCUGGCGGCGUGCCUAAUACAUGCAAGUAGAACGCUGAAGAGAGGAGCUUGCUCUUCUUGGCUGAGUUGCGAACGGGUGAGUAACGCGUAGGUAACCUGCCUGGUAGCGGGGGAUAACUAUUGGAAACGAUAGCUAAUACCGCAUAAAAUUGAUUAUUGCAUGAUAAUUAAUUGAAAGAUGCAACUGCAUCACUACCAGAUGGACCUGCGUUGUAUUAGCUAGUUGGUGAGGUAACGGCUCACCAAGGCGACGAUACAUAGCCGACCUGAGAGGGUGAUAGGCCACACUGGGACUGAGACACGGCCCAGACUCCUACGGGAGGCAGCAGUAGGGAAUCUUCGGCAAUGGGGGGAACCCUGACCGAGCAACGCCGCGUGAGUGAAGAAGGUUUUCGGAUCGUAAAGCUCUGUUGUAAGAGAAGAACGGGUGUGAGAGUGGAAAGUUCACACUGUGACGGUAUCUUACCAGAAAGGGACGGCUAACUACGUG